UAAAAAGCAAUGACCGUGUAAGUAGAGAACUGUUUUCCACUAGAGAGAGAAGAUCGAUGGGCUGAAAGUCUUCUUUGGUUCAGGCAGGGAUUGAAUUUCCCACGUGAGCUGCAUUUUUGAACAUGAUUUGACAGAUUAGUAGGAAAUGCCGUGUGAUGCGCGUUAUGCAUAAAUGAGUGCCUGCAUUAUAGCAGAUAAGAUUAUGAAGCGUGCAGGAAUCAGGGUGGUACCACGGGUAAAUACAGACCUCGUCCCUUUU
rnacentral:ncRNA from 1 species